CGGGAAUUUUGGGCAAUGGGCGAAAGCCUGACCCAGCAACGCCGCGUGAGGGAUGAAGUAUUUCGGUAUGUAAACCUCAAAAGAAUGGGAAGAAUAAAUGACGGUACCAUUUAUAAGCUCCGGCUAACUACGUGCCAGCAGCCGCGGUAAUACGUAGGGAGCAAGCGUUGUUCGGAUUUCCUGGGCGUAAAGGGCGCGUGGGCGGCGCGGUAAGUCACUUGUGAAAUCUCUGAGCUUAACUCAGAACGGCCAAGUGAUACUGCUGUGCUAGAGUGCGGAAGAGGCCACCGGAAUUCUUGGUGUAGCUGUGAAAUGCGUAGAUAUCAAGAGGAACACCUGAGGCGAAGGCGGGUUGCUGGGCCGACACUGACGCUGAUGCGCGAAAGCCAGGGGAGCAAACG
rnacentral:rRNA from 1 species